rnacentral:rRNA from 1 species
AUACGGAGGAUGCAAGCGUUAUCCGGAUUUAUUGGGUUUAAAGGGUGCGUAGGCGGGACUGUAAGUCAGGGGUGAAAUACUGCAGCUUAACUGUAGCAUUGCCUUUGAAACUGCCGUUCUUGAGUACAGUUGAGGGAGGCGGAAUGUGGUGUGUAGCGGUGAAAUGCAUAGAUAUACCACAGAACGCCGAUUGCGAAGGCAGCUUACUAAGCUGUUACUGACGCUGAGGCACGAAAGCGUGGGGAUCAAACAGGAUUAGAUACCCUGGUAGUCCACGCUGUAAACGAUGAUUACUGGUUGUUAGCGAUAUAUAGCUAGUGACUGAGCGAAAGCAUUAAGUAAUCCACCUGGGGAGUACGUCGGCAACGAUGAAACUUAAAGGAAUUGACGGGG